rnacentral:miRNA from 1 species
UCUAUAAUCAUACUACAUUCU